AUCUGAGUACGGAUCUGGCUAUGGUGGACAAACGGAGGUGGAGUAUGGUCGGAGACCUGAGCAGAGUUAUGGAUCUGGUUAUGGUGGAAGGACGGAGACUGAAUCGGAGUAUGGAUCUGGUGGUGGUGGAAGAACUGAGGUUGAGUAUGGUAGGAGACCUGAAUCAGGGCUUGGAUCUGGUUAUGGUGGGAGAUCGGAGUCUGAGUAUGAGCGUAAGCCUAGCUAUGGAAGGUCUGAGGAACAAGAAGAAGGUUAUAGGAAGCCUAGCUAUGGAAGAUCUGAAGAACAAGAGGAAGGUUACAGGAAGCCAAGUUAUGGAAGAUCUGAGGAGCAGGAAGAAGGAUAUAGAAAGCCUAGCUAUGGAAGAUCUGAGGAGGAACAAGAGGAAGGUUAUAGGAAGCCUAGCUAUGGAAGAUCUGAGGAACAAGAGGAAGGAAGUUACAGGAAACCUAGUUAUGGGAGGUCUGAUGAUCAGGUGGAGAGUUACAUUAAGCCUAGCUAUGGAAGAUCUGAGGAACAGGAGGAGGGAAGUUACAGGAAGCCUAGUUAUGGGAGGUCUGAGGAACAGGAAGAGGGGAGUUACAGGAAGCAGCCUAGCUAUGGCCGUGGCAAUGACGAUGAUGAUGAUGAGCAGCGUAGGAACCGUUCUGGUUCUGGUGAUGAUGAGGAAGGGAGCUAUGGCCGCAAGAAAUAUGUAAGUUGAAGAAAUUAAUAUUUUGUUGAAUCCUUUGGUGAUCAUAUUGUAGAGUGUAGAGUAAUCCAAAGUUUAUAUCUUUAGUGAUUGUUUUAUGAUCAUUCAUGAUUUAGCCAUCUAUAAACAUCAUUAUAAAGAACCUGUCUAAAGUCUUUGUUUGGAUACAUACAUGUCAACGAAAUGUAUCUGUUUCACAGUUUACAUGAAUAGAAAGCUAGUUCUAGGAUUCCAUUUGACUUUGGUGGUGUAGUAUUCGAUUGAAUAUGGACAACAUUUCGUUUGGUUGAAUUAUGCAUAGCUUGCAUCUAGGUUGUGUGGAAAUUAAGUUUGAUUGGUUAGCACUGAAAACCCUUUGUUGAUCAUAGUGUAGAGUAACUCGUUAUUGAACUAAAGUUAUAUCUUUAGUGGUGGUUCUUGUCGAUUAAUGAUUUAGUCAUCUGUGAACAUCCAUUAAGAAGAACAAUGUUGUCUAGUUACAUACUUACAUGUCAACAUUAUUUUAUUGAAUUUGGCCAUCUUGAGGAUAUCUGAAGGUCUCUCUUUCCUUUCUUAUGGUCAUAGUUCAUAGCAGCGGCAUCAUUAACCUGAUGUCAUUGUAUGGGUCAUUACAUAGGUUACACUUUUGACGUAGUCCUAAUUAUUUCCAAUACACAAUUUGCAGGGUGGCAAUGACUCUGAUGAGGAUGAGGAGAAGAAGAAGCACCGUCACAAGCAUCACCACCAGAAGCGUCGUGACGAAGACGAUGAGUAAACUAAACCCUCUCUGUGCUAGAGAGUGUAAUGAGAAUGUGUGUUUGCUUAGCCUCAAAAAUCUACUAAAUAAAGAGCUAAGUCACAUAC
rnacentral:lncRNA from 1 species